rnacentral:lncRNA from 1 species
GGCAAACCGCUCCCUCCGUUUCUGAAGUGUGGUGGGUUUGUUGUUUUGCUCUUUGAAAUUAAUCUUGCUGCUGAUCAUUCUUUGGGUCUGCACUACCUUAACAAGCUGUAAUACUCACCAAGAAGGUCUGCAGCGUCAUUUCUGAGGCCAGCGAGACCACGAAUCCACCAGGAGGGAUGAACGACUCCAGACGCGCCACCUUAAGAGCUGUGACACUCAUCGUGAAGGUCUGUAGCUUCGCUGCUGAAGCCAGCAAGAUCACGAACCAACCAGAAGAACGAAACUACGAACACGUCCAAACAUCAGAAGGAACAAGCUUUGGACACAUCAUCUUUAAAAACUAUAACACUCACCACGAGUGUUUACGGCUUCAUUCUUGAAGUCAGUGAGACCAAGAACCCACCACUUCCGGACACACACCCAGUCCCCACCUCCAACACUGAGAAUUGUAAUUGAACAUGAGCUUCAGGUGAGGACACAGACCAAAACCAUGGCAACAAUGUUGCUGAAGAGCCAGGGAGAAUGGGUUCUGAGGUCUGCUUCCUAAGGAACAGGACCUUUCAUCCUGAAGGCUCAGCCCCCAAUGGACGGCAGACGAAGAGGCCUGUGUGGGAACUGGCUAGCUGUGGGCGCUCCACGCGGUGGCUAUGAUGGGUGAAGCCCCCCAGCCUGCUUGUCUUCAGAAGGGCAGGAGGCCUAGCAGUUUUCUUCCCCGUUCUUAUUCAUAAAACUACUUGUACAUGUUUACAGUUUUUUCUUUAAUGGUGAAGUUACACCUCAGUGUGUUCAUUAUAUUAUUUCUGCAUAAAUAAUAAUGACCUUUAUUGACAAUAAUUCUGUUUUGGACUAGAGGAUUAAUAAUUUUCUGAUGUUUAAUGUAUGAAAAAUUGUAUAUGAUAGUUUUAAUCACGUCUGACUUUAAAAAUAUUGUGCUUAGGAUUGAAAUUUGAGCACAUUAACUUGCCUCCUCUGU